rnacentral:rRNA from 1 species
AUUGAACGCUGGCGGCAUGCCUUACACAUGCAAGUCGAACGGCAGCACGGGGGCAACCCUGGUGGCGAGUGGCGAACGGGUGAGUAAUACAUCGGAACGUGCCCGGUAGUGGGGGAUAGCUCGGCGAAAGCCGGAUUAAUACCGCAUACGACCUGCGGGUGAAAGCGGGGAUCGCAAGACCUCGCGCUAUCGGAGCGGCCGAUGUCAGAUUAGGUUGUUGGUGGGGUAAAGGCCACCAAGCCGACGAUCUGUAGCUGGUCUGAGAGGACGACCAGCCACACUGGGACUGAGACACGGCCCAGACUCCUACGGGAGGCAGCAGUGGGGAAUCUUGCGCAAUGGGCGAAAGCCUGACGCAGCGACGCCGCGUGAGGGAUGACGGCCU